AUUGAACGCUGGCGGCAGGCUUAACACAUGCAAGUCGAGCGGGGUGAUGGUGCUUGCACUAUCACUUAGCGGCGGACGGGUGAGUAAUGCUUAGGAAUCUGCCUAUUAGUGGGGGACAACAUCUCGAAAGGGAUGCUAAUACCGCAUACGUCCUACGGGAGAAAGCAGGGGAUCACUUGUGACCUUGCGCUAAUAGAUGAGCCUAAGUCGGAUUAGCUAGUUGGUGGGGUAAAGGCCUACCAAGGCGACGAUCUGUAGCGGGUCUGAGAGGAUUAUCCGCCACACUGGGACGGAGACACGGCCCCGACUCCUACGGGAUGCAGCAGUGGGGAAUAUUGGACAAUGGGGGGAACCCUGAUCCAGCCAUGCCGCGUGUGUGAAGAAGGCCUUAUGGUUGUAAAGCACUUUAAGCGAGGAGGAGGCUCUUUUGGUUAAUACCCAAGAUGAGUGGACGUUACUCGCAGAAUAAGCACCGGCUAACUCUGUGCCAGCCGCCGCCGUAA
rnacentral:rRNA from 1 species